rnacentral:rRNA from 1 species
UUAAUACCGGAUAGCAUACGAAUAUCGCAUGAUAUUUUUAUUAAAGAAUUUCGGUUAUCGAUGGGGAUGCGUUCCAUUAGUUUGUUGGCGGGGUAACGGCCCACCAAGACUACGAUGGAUAGGGGUUCUGAGAGGAAGGUCCCCCACAUUGGAACUGAGACACGGUCCAAACUCCUACGGGAGGCAGCAGUGAGGAAUAUUGGUCAAUGGGCGAGAGCCUGAACCAGCCAAGUAGCGUGAAGGAUGAAGGCUCUAUGGGUCGUAAACUUCUUUUAUAUGGGAAUAAAGUAUUCCACGUGUGGAAUUUUGUAUGUACCAUAUGAAUAAGGAUCGGCUAACUCCGUGCCAGCAGCCGCGGUAAUACGGAGGAUCCGAGCGUUAUCCGGAUUUAUUGGGUUUAAAGGGAGCGUAGGUGGAUUGUUAAGUCAGUUGUGAAAGUUUGCGGCUCAACCGUAAAAUUGCAGUUGAAACUGGGAGUCUUGAGUACAGUAGAGGUGGGCGGAAUUCGUGGUGUAGCGGUGAAAUGCUUAGAUAUCACGAAGAACUCCGAUUGCGAAGGCAGCUCACUAGACUGUUACUGACACUGAUGCUCGAAAGUGUGGGUAUCAAACAGGAUUAGAUACCCUGGUAGUCCACACAGUAAAC